rnacentral:rRNA from 1 species
UACGGAGGGUGCAAGCGUUAUCCGGAUUCACUGGGUUUAAAGGGUGCGUAGGUGGCGCCGUAAGUCGGGUGUGAAAUUUCGGAGCUUAACUCCGAAACUGCAUUCGAUACUGCGGUGCUUGAGGACUGGAGAGGAGACUGGAAUUCAUGGUGUAGCAGUGAAAUGCGUAGAGAUCAUGAGGAAGACCAGUGGCGAAGGCGGGUCUCUGGACAGUUCCUGACACUGAGGCACGAAGGCCAGGGGAGCAAACGGG